CCACCCGGCAGAGAGGGUUCCUUGUCCCCUGGAGCCGAACACAGGAAAAUCAGCUGGAAGCCAUGGAAAUAAAUAAGGAGCUGUUGAAGUUGCCAGCUCCCUGGAGUAACUGUGUAAACCUCCGGUCUUCUAUUCUCAUGGCCAAUAGUGCUUCCACUGGUCAAAACUCAAGCCUCAAGAUAAAGCAUGUAAAUAGCUUAAGAAGAGC
rnacentral:lncRNA from 1 species